CUUCCUUCAAUAAAAUCUUCCAGAGCACUCAAGCUCACAAAGCUUCUACAUGUCAUUUGAUAUUGAUAUUUUUGCCUCAAUGGGGAAAAUCUUAAUCUAUUUAUAAACUGUUUUUUCCUGACAAUGUAGGAGUGUGUUUAAGAAUUUCUUGACUACUUGCUGUAAGGAUAUAUGUAUAUUCUAGAAACUCAAAUUGGGGUGGAUAAUGUAAAAUGUUUUACUGUACUUACUCAUCGUCUGUAACUAUAAUUUCCUAGAACCUAUUUGGAAAUCGGCUUGCAUAUUUUGGAGGGCCAGAACGGACAACGCUAUUUUCUGAAAAUAAUGAAGUAUACAUAUAUUUUAGAAGCACAUACAUUUCAUCAUACAAAUCUAGUAGAAGUGAAUUACUAAUUUCAAUAUAAAAAAUAGGACUUAUAUGGGUGAUGUGGUCAAAUGCAGUGAUUUUUAGCUUGGUUGGUUGUGUCAACGGUAUCUCGCUGUCACCAUUUUGUUUGACACGUUCCACUAUAGUUUCUUUAUCAAGCACUCAAUAAAUUUUGUGUACUGGUCUUCCAUAUGAACUUGGUGAAGCUUUAACUCUUGCAGCGGAGAUCAAAUGUGUGUGGAAGAGUUCAAGCUUUUCUCCCAUAAUAUGGGAUGUCAUUGCCAUACACGACUCCUCUAAUUUGUUUCCUUUAAAGUGUCAAUAUCAGUUAGAAAUGCAGUUAAAUCAUAGUUAUAAAAAGUUGAUUAUUUAUUAUAUAAAAGAUAGAGAAAUUACCUCUUCAUCUUCUAAAAUCAGAUUUUGAAAUCUUACCUUUUUCUCAUUACUUUCUCAUUCUCAACUUAUCUCCACAAUUUGGAUUUUGCACGUUCAAUCUGGUGUAUCAGUUGUUAUUUGAUUGAUGUUGUUUCUUAAUGCCACAAUAUCUUGGUAAUAAAGACAAAGUUCAUCAGAAAAACAUAGCCAAGGAAGAAAUCAGGAAUAAUAGCUAACAUGCACGUAAAUAUGUUGGCAAGACAUUAUUCAAAAAGGAAAAAAUUGAUCCAGAUAAAUAAAGUGCAAUGACAAACAAAGAUUGCGCAAAUAACUCUUAAAACAGAGCGCUCAACCCAUAUUUGACCAUAUACAAAUAGAGGAAAAUGGGUCAAAUUAUAACAGAGUUAACCAAAAAACAUUACACAUACAGUACAUUACACUCGGAUGUUUUGUAUAAAAUAACAAUUGAUACACCAGAUUGGACAUGUAAAGUUCAAUUUGUAGACAUAAGUCGAGAAAGUAAUAAGAAAAAAGUAAGAUUCCAAAAUCUGAUUUUAUAAGAUAAAGAGGUAAUUUCAUCUAUCUUUUAUGUAAUAUAUAAUUAACUUUUUAUAAUUAUGAUUUAACUGCAUCUCUAACUGAUAUUGACACUUUAAAGGAGCAACAAAUUAGAGGAGUCGUGUCUGGCAAUGACAUCCCAUAUUAUGCAGACAAGCUUUAACUCUUCCACACAUAUUUGAUUCCCACGGCAAGAGUUAAAGCUUCACCAAAUUCAUAUGGAAGGCCAGUACACAAAUUUUAUUGAGUGCUUGAUAAAGAAACUAUAGUGGAACGUGUCAAACCAAAUGGUGAUAGCGAGAUACCGUUGACACCACCAACCAAGCUAAAAAUCACUACAUUUGACCACAUCACUCAUAUGAGUCAUAAUUUUUCUACUGAAAUUAGUAAUUCACUUCUACUAGAUUUGUAUGAUGAAAUGUAUGUGCUUCUAAAAUAUAUGUAUACUUCAGUAUUUUCAGAAAAUAUAUGCUGAAAAAACUCUUACUAGUCGUGGGAGUUGUUGUCCGUUCUGGCUCUCCAAAAUAUGCAAGCCGAUUUUCAAAUAGGUGCCAGGAAAUUAUCAUUGCAGACCAUGAGUAAGUAUACUGAAACAUUUCAUAUUAUCCACCCCAAUUUGAGUUUCUAGAAUAUACAUAUAUCCUUACAGCAAGUAGUCAAGAAUUUCGUAAACACAAUCCUACAUUGUCAGGAAAAACCAGUUUAUACAUAGAUUGAGAUUUUCACAUUAAGGCAAAAAUAUCAAAUGUAAUGUAGAAGUUGCUCAGGAAACAGAAAUUGCGCAUGAAGGAAAGAAGGGGAUUAGACUGCACCUAGUGUAAACAACAUUAGUUUGGACUGCACCCAGUGUGUAAGUUCCAAAUUGAUCUUACUGACGGUAGUGGAUCGACAACUGCAGUGCUUUCUGGUGAUCUAGCUGAAUAAAUGCUCCCCAUGGCAGUAGACGACAUAUUUGACACAACAUGUGUCAAGAAACAACUCUUUCCCACUAACCAUGUCAAAGACACGUUUUCAAACAGAAUCUUCUGAAUACAAUUCAGAAAGUUAUCUUUGGAGAGGUACUAACAGUGUGCAAGCAAGUCUAUCAGUUUUGUCCUACAUACAAAAGGAACGCAUCUUUCUACCAAUUACUGGCGAGAGAAAUAAAAACAAAGUCAAGCCUCUAAGUACAAACGGGGUAGAAGUGGAAGCAACAGUGGUGAUAUCUGAAUCUUGAAGCGCAAGGAUGAAGCUAGAUCCACCAACACCAUAAAGAAAAUGGAAAUGUCAAGUCCCCUUAAGUAUCUACACCGCAGGGAGUGUCUACCUUUUUGGGGAUCAUGGGAUCUUUUGCUAUUGAAAAAUAAAACAUCUGUGGGUACUCAAUUGAAUGGUAAAGUC